rnacentral:rRNA from 1 species
GAUGAACGUUGGCGGCGUGCCUAAUACAUGCAAGUCGAACGAAGACUGUAGUAAUACUGUCUUAGUGGCGAACGGGUGAGUAACGCGUGGGUGACCUGCCCCGAAGUGUGGGAUAACAGUUCGAAAGGAUUGCUAAUACUGCAUAAUAUCCAAGAGAUUAGACGCUUUUGGAUUAAAGGAGUAAUUCGCUUCGGGAGGGGCCCGCGUCCCAUCAGCUAGUUGGUAAGGUAAUGGCUUACCAAGGCGAUGACGGGUAGGGGACCUGAGAGGGUGGCCCCCCCACAAUGGAACUGAAACACGGUCCAUACACCUACGGGUGGCAGCAGUAGGGAAUAUUAGUAAUGGGCGAAAGCCUGAACUAGCAACGCCGCGUGUGCGAAGAAGGUCUUCGGAUUGUAAAGCUCUUUCACGGGUGAAGAUAAUGACGGUAACCCGAGAAGAAGCCCCGGUAACUUCGUG